rnacentral:lncRNA from 1 species
GCUGAAACUAGGGGCUGAAAUAAUUGGGAGGGGGGACAUGAAGAGUGAGUGAGGCACAGAGCUGUGCUCUCAGGAGCAGGUGGCCUUCCAGGAGACUCCAGCAGGGCAAAAGAGACAGACAUGGAGGCAGCUGGCUGGCUUGGACUGCUUUGUCCUUGGAAAGACCCACAGAAUUUUCCCCACACUCCAUAGGCUGGAACUAGUCACAUGGCCCCACAACAGCGAAGGAGACUGGGAUACAGAGUGGAGCAUGUGGAUAUUUGUUUGGCAAAGAAAUAAUAUGACAAACAGGAGGGAGAAGAAC